rnacentral:tRNA from 1 species
GGGGCCGUAGCGCAGAGGUCGUCGCACCCGCACGCAAUGCGAGGAGGACGCCGGUUCGAAUCCGGUCGGCUCCA